rnacentral:rRNA from 1 species
UACGGAGGGUGCAAACGUUGCUCGGAAUCAUUGGGCGUAAAGCGCACGUAGGCGGCCUGUUAAGUCGGGUGUGAAAUCCCUCGGCUCAACCGAGGAAGUGCAUUCGAUACUGGCGGGCUUGAAUAUGGAAGAGGGUCGCGGAAUUCCCGGUGUAGAGGUGAAAUUCGUAGAUAUCGGGAGGAACACCAGUGGCGAAGGCGGCGACCUGGGCCAAUAUUGACGCUGAGGUGCGAAAGCGUGGGGAGCAAACAGG